UACGGAGGGUGCAAGCGUUAUCCGGAUUCACUGGGUUUAAAGGGUGCGUAGGCGGGCAGGUAAGUCAGUGGUGAAAUCUCCGGGCUUAACCCGGAAACUGCCGUUGAUACUAUCUGUCUUGAAUAUCGUGGAGGUAAGCGGAAUAUGUCAUGUAGCGGUGAAAUGCUUAGAUAUGACAUAGAACACCGAUUGCGAAGGCAGCUUACUACACGAUCAUUGACGCUGAGGCACGAAAGCGUGGGGAGCAAACGGG
rnacentral:rRNA from 1 species